AAUAUGAAAUUUUAUUAAAAGAAAAAGGGGUGAAAAGAACAAAGUUUUGUCCAUCUUUGUUCAUCAUAGCCUAAAGUUAGAGAAGAGAAAAGAGAGGAGAAAGCUCUUGAAUGUUCGGUCACUUGGGGAAGAAAAUUAAAGGAAAUCCCCAACCAUAGUGGGCUUGGAGCUGUGAGGGAAUUCGGAGUGGCCACCCAUUCUGAAAGUUUGAUUUUCUUCUGGUGAACUAGACAUCCUUUUAUUUACGUUUGAAGUUUUGGGUUUUUAAAUGUAAUAAGGCCGCUUAAUUAUUUUUGAUGGUUUUAAUAUGUAUUACUAAGAUAGGUAUUACUUAUUUUAAAUGUUGAAAUUGGAUAGCUUUAGGGCGCGUUUUCAAAAACAACAAUUGAUUUCAAAAUAACACGACAACAAGCAAAGCUUCCGCAAUGAAA